CAGCAAUAUUGUCCCAUGUUAUCUCACCACUAGAAGAAUUUACAUGUGGUUCAUCGAGUCCAUAUAUUCUGACUCCCAUGGACUCCAAAGUGGCAACUGAUUCGGCAGACGGCAUUCGAGCAGCACCUUCCCCUGGUUUUCUUUCUGUUCUUUCUGAAAUCUUCAAUCUCCCACCAGCUAAUUGUAGAACAGACACCAGAGCUUCAAGCUCUUUGGUGCUUAAG
rnacentral:misc_RNA from 1 species